UACGGAAGGCAGCAGUGGGGAAUAUUGCACAAUGGGCGCAAGCCUGAUGCAGCCAUGCCGCGUGUAUGAAGAAGGCCUUCGGGUUGUAAAGUACUUUCAGUCGUGAGGAAGGUGUUAAGGUUAAUAACCUUAGCAAUUGACGUUAGCGACAGAAGAAGCACCGGCUAACUCCGUGCCAGCAGCCGCGGUAAUACGGAGGGUGCGAGCGUUAAUCGGAAUUACUGGGCGUAAAGGGCACGCAGGCGGUUAAUUAAGUUGGAUGUGAAAUCCCCGGGCUUAACCUGGGAAUGGCAUUCAAGACUGGUUAGCUAGAGUCUUGUAGAGGGGGUAGAAUUCCAUGUGUAGCGGUGAAAUGCGUAGAGAUGUGGAGGAAUACCGGUGGCGAAGGCGGCCCCUGGACAAAGACUGACGCUCAUGUGCGAAAGCGUGGGGAGCAAACGAGGAUUAGAA
rnacentral:rRNA from 1 species